rnacentral:rRNA from 2 species
UCGAUGGGAGCUUGCUCCCUGAGAUUAGCGGCGGACGGGUGAGUAACACGUGGGCAACCUGCCUAUAAGACUGGGAUAACUUCGGGAAACCGGAGCUAAUACCGGAUACGUUCUUUUCUCGCAUGAGAGAAGAUGGAAAGACGGUUUUGCUGUCACUUAUAGAUGGGCCCGCGGCGCAUUAGCUAGUUGGUGAGGUAAUGGCUCACCAAGGCGACGAUGCGUAGCCGACCUGAGAGGGUGAUCGGCCACACUGGGACUGAGACACGGCCCAGACUCCUACGGGAGGCAGCAGUAGGGAAUCUUCCGCAAUGGACGAAAGUCUGACGGARCAACGCCGCGUGAACGAAGAAGGCCUUCGGGUCGUAAAGUUCUGUUGUUAGGGAAGAACAAGUACCAGAGUAACUGCUGGUACCUUGACGGUACCUAACCAGAAAGCCACGGCUAACUACGUGCCAGCAGCCGCGGUAAUACGUAGGUGGCAAGCGU